UCUCAUCCUUAGAACAAGAGCUUUGAUUCACUAGACCACGCUUGCAUUGCAUUGGCAAUGGCAAUGCCAUGGUUUGAAGCUGCAAGGGAACUACAGAGAUCUUCUUUCUACAGGCAGAGUAAGCAUAGGUGGCGAUGGUUUGAGAUGUGCCUGGCUCCCUGUAUGCCACUCAUCUAGAGCAACAACACCAAUCCUAAUGUUGCCUACGAUGGAUGGCGUGCACGAAGCCAAGCAUCUCUCUAUUUCCGAGCUCCUUCUCGGUCCCUUCUCUCAUAUCGCCUCUUUUCGGAUUUAGUUUUUGUUGCAUUUAUUGUGGUUUAUCUAAUUGUAUACCACUAUUCUUUCUAUGGCUUGGUGAGGCACAAUGGUUGCUUUUCAUGGUAUUUAAAAAAGACAGUUUUUCCGACAUUCAAAUCAAUUCUACUUAAUUUCCAUUCUCCAUAGAUGUUUUUUCUGAUGUUCAUGCAUUAAGCCGAAAUUUCAAUGGAAUAUUUGCAUAACUUCAAUCAAAUAUCAAUGCAGAUUAUUUUCCGUGGCUAAUUACCCCCACACAAAGGGGGUUAUUCCUGAUUGUUUGUUGCGCACUGAAAUAUUGUGCUUUGUACUGAACAUGGCAUUGUGAGCAGAAGGUAACAGGUAUUGAAAUGGAUAAGGGUCAACUACAUGGACUGAAAUUUAUACCAUUUUAUUUCAAAAUCUUUGCAAUGUCAUUAUCUCCUUAUUAGCCAAUCACAUGUUGCAAAUUGGUCAUAACAAACGGAAGCAUUUCCGAAGAGGGGGAGGAGGGGAAGCAAUGGAAGCAUGGCUCAGAUAACCAACACUGACCAGCAAGUAUGCCACAAGUGUCCUGAUGAAAUAAAGGGUGGGACAUCAUCAGAUCAAGACCACCUUGAUUCAGAGUUUGUGCCAAGAUACCAAGAAGCAGUUGGCAGCUUUUGAGAAGUUGAUCCCCUAUUUGAAGAGCUACAUGGCUUGCGGUUCUGAAUCUUCACUGUGUGGUUCAAAUGUAACUAAUUCAUUUUGUCAGCAAAAAGAGCGUGUAUAAGUGAGUUUACAUCCACAUCUGUAUAUUCAGCCAGUCAUAAAUGUACAGUGUACAAACCGUGUACGAAAGAAUUCAGUCCAAAUUUGUUGUAAUCUGCCAA